ACACAUUGGAUUCAGCCACCUGAAAUGUGUUUUAAGAUUAAUGUUGAUGUUGCGAUUGCACACAACGGGGAACGCGGAGUGGCAGCGACAGUAUGUCGUGAUCACAAUGGCCUCUUUCAGGGGGCAUCGGUUAUAGUUGUAAAGGGUAUCUAUGAUCCUCCAACCCUUGAAGCUUUGGCAGUUCGCGAGGCUCUAGCCCUCGCCGAAGAUCUUUACCUACAAAGGAUUCAUGUCGCCUCUGAUUGUAAGGUUGUAGUGGAUGACAUGAAGCAGAAGAACACGGCUAUCUUACAUGAAAUCAUGGACCAUAGCAAUUCUUCUAAUAAGUUUCGUGUUGUUCAUGAGUUUAGGAGCUCGAACUUCGAGACUCAUAAUCUAGCGAAGCAUGUCUUAAGUUUAGGGGUGGGUCGCCAUGUUUGGUUAGGACACCUUGGUGAUCUCUCUUUUGUACCUGUAAACAUUAGGUCGAGUUAA
rnacentral:rRNA from 1 species